GUGGGGAAUAUUGGACAAUGGGCGCAAGCCUGAUCCAGCAAUGCCGCGUGAGUGAUGAAGGCCUUAGGGUUGUAAAGCUCUUUCACCGGGGAAGAUAAUGACGGUACCCGGAGAAGAAGCCCCGGCUAACUCCGUGCCAGCAGCCGCGGUAAUACGGAGGGGGCUAGCGUUGUUCGGAAUUACUGGGCGUAAAGCGCGCGUAGGCGGCUUGACAAGUUGGAGGUGAAAGUCCGGGGCUCAACUUCGGAAUUGCCUUCAAGACUGUCUCGCUCGAGGCAGGGAGAGGAGAGCGGAAUACCCAGUGUAGAGGUGAAAUUCGUAGAUAUUGGGUGGAACACCGGUGGCGAAGGCGGCUCUCUGGCCCUGAUCUGACGCUAAGGCGCGAAAGCGUGGGGAGCAAACAGGAUUAGAAACCCGAGUAGUCC
rnacentral:rRNA from 1 species